rnacentral:rRNA from 1 species
UAGAAUUCCAGGUGUAGCGGUGAAAUGCGUAGAGAUCUGGAGGAAUACCGGUGGCGAAGGCGGCCCCCUGGACGAAGACUGACGCUCAGGUGCGAAAGCGUGGGGAGCAAACAGGAUUAGAUACCCUGGUAGUCCACGCCGUAAACGAUGUCGACUUGGAGGUUGUGCCCUUGAGGCGUGGCUUCCGGAGCUAACGCGUUAAGUCGACCGCCUGGGGAGUACGGCCGCAAGGUUAAAACUCAAAUGAAUUGACGGGGGCCCGCACAAGCGGUGGAGCAUGUGGUUUAAUUCGAUGCAACGCGAAGAACCUUACCUGGUCUUGACAUCCACGGAAGUUUUCAGAGAUGAGAAUGUGCCUUCGGGAACCGUGAGACAGGUGCUGCAUGGCUGUCGUCAGCUCGUGUUGUGAAAUGUUGGGUUAAGUCCCGCAACGAGCGCAACCCUUAUCCUUUGUUGCCAGCGGUCCGGCCGGGAACUCAAAGGAGACUGCCAGUGAUAAACUGGAGGAAG